rnacentral:rRNA from 1 species
ACUCCUACGGGAGGCAGCAGUGGGGAAUUUUGCGCAAUGGGGGCAACCCUGACGCAGCAACGCCGCGUGAGUGAUGAAGGCCUUUGGGUCGUAAAGCUCUGUCAGAGGGAAAGAAAUGUGGGUGGUUAAUAACCAUUCCACUUGACGGUACCCUCAAAGGAAGGCACCGGCUAACUCCGUGCCAGCAGCCGCGGUAAU